GCCAGUGUGGCAUAGUGGCUUGAAUGUUGGACUACAACUCUGGAGACCAGGGUUCAAUUCUCAGCUCAGCCA
rnacentral:tRNA from 1 species